rfam:Camelus ferus unplaced genomic scaffold scaffold340, whole genome shotgun sequence.
GAGGGUAUAGCUUAAGUGUUAGAGCACAUGCUUAGCAUGCGCAAGAUCCUGGGUUCAAUCCCCAGUACCUCCU